GAUGAACGCUGGCGGCGUGCCUAAUACAUGCAAGUCGAGCGAACAGACGAGGAGCUUGCUCCUCUGACGUUAGCGGCGGACGGGUGAGUAACACGUGGAUAACCUACCUAUAAGACUGGGAUAACUUCGGGAAACCGGAGCUAAUACCGGAUAAUAUAUUGAACCGCAUGGUUCAAUAGUGAAAGACGGUUUUGCUGUCACUUAUAGAUGGAUCCGCGCCGCAUUAGCUAGUUGGUAAGGUAACGGCUUACCAAGGCAACGAUGCGUAGCCGACCUGAGAGGGUGAUCGGCCAAACUGGAACUUAGACACGGUCCAGACUCCUACGGGAGGCAGCAGUAGGGAAUCUUCCGCAAUGGGCGAAAGCCUGACGGAGCAACGCCGCGUGAGUGAUGAAGGUCUUCGGAUCGUAAAACUCUGUUAUUAGGGAAGAACAAAUGUGUAAGUAACUAUGCACGUCUUGACGGUACCUAAUCAGAAAGCCACGGCUAACUACGUG
rnacentral:rRNA from 1 species